GGGGAUGACGUCAAAUCAUCAUGCCCCUUAUGCUUAGGGCUACACACGUGCUACAAUGGGUAGUACAGAGGGUUGCAAAGCCGUAAGGUGGAGCUAAUCCCUUAAAGCUACUCUCAGUUCGGAUUGUAGGCUGAAACUCGCCUACAUGAAGCUGGAGUUACUAGUAAUCGCAGAUCAGAAUGCUGCGGUGAAUGCGUUCCCGGGU
rnacentral:rRNA from 1 species